CAGCAGUGGGGAAUAUUGCACAAUGGGCGCAAGCCUGAUGCAGCAACGCCGUGUGAGUGAAGAAGGUUUUCGGAUCGUAAAACUCUGUCCUAAGGGAAGAAACAAAUGACGGUACCUUAGGAGGAAGCCCCGGCUAACUACGUGCCAGCAGCCGCGGUAAUACGUAGGGGCAAGCGUUAUCCGGAAUCACUGGGCGUAAAGGGUGCGUAGGCGGCUUAGCAAGCCAGGGGUGAAAGGCAUUGGCUCAACCAAUGUAAGCCUUUGGAACUGUUAAGCUUGAGUGCAGGAGAGGUAAGUGGAAUUCCUAGUGUAGAGGUGAAAUUCGUAGAUAUUAGGAGGAACACCAGUGGCGAAGGCGACUUACUGGACUGUAACUGACGCUGAUGCACGAAAGCGUGGGUAGCGAACAGGAUUAGAUACCCUGGUAG
rnacentral:rRNA from 1 species